UACGUAGGCAGCGAGCGUUGUUCGGAGUUACUGGGCGUAAAGCGUGCGCAGGCGGUUUUGUAAGCCAGAUGUGAAAUCCCCGGGCUUAACCUGGGAAUGGCAUUUGGGACUGCAAGGCUUGAGUGCGGCAGAGGAGACUGGAAUUCCUGGUGUAGCAGUGAAAUUCGUAGAUAUUCGCAAGAACACCAGUGGCGAAGGCGGCUCACUGGCCCGGUACUGACGCUGAGGCACGAAAGCGUGGGGAAGCAAACAGGG
rnacentral:rRNA from 1 species